CUUUUCUGGUCCAGCUACCUCCCACCUCGCCUUCCUUGACCUCAGGUGGGGUUUCCCUUCUGCAGAGCAGGGAUGGAGGCCGGGGUCCUCCCAGCAGAGAAGCCCUGUGUUCCUCCUCUCUUGCCUGAGCAGCCCCACCCCCAAGGCUGGCAGAGGCUGGCCCUGAAGCUCCUGAUCGUCUCCCUCCGGUCUGACUGCCUUACCUUUUUAGCCUAAAUCCCAGCCCCUCCUUUUAGGAACUGUCAUCAUGUUUAAUCCUGCCUGGGGGAGACCCCCUCCACCUUCCUAAAUGGAAGGUAUUCCAUUACAUGCUAAAGUGCAGUUUAAGUAGCUGUAAGGAAGUGUGACAGAAAGUCUGUCAGAGUGGGGCUGGACUUGCCAAAACUUGGUGUGAUGUGGGGACUCUGUCAACGUGCUCCUAGGGAAACCUGAGCUGAGCUGAGGCUGGGGCUGGCAGGAUGUUCAAGGUGAGCCCAGGACCUGCCACACUGUGCCAGCCUCGCCCAAGCCACCCCCCAGCCAGGACGCGGUCUUUCCUGACUCAGCAGGCUGAGGCACCUGAGGCUUUCAUUUUAAUUAUGAACCACUUCAAAGCCUUUCUGGAAGCAGUCUCUGCAAUAACCAACCUGGGUUCUCUCCUAAUGUGGGGAUUGUCCUGGAGCCCAGGCCUUCCAAGGCUCCUCCGCCCGCCAACAUCACCUACCUCAUCUUCCUCUUCAGCACAUCCCCAACAUUGUCUAAGCGGUAACUCACCUGAGCAAAGCACUUGACACGGAUUCAUUCAUUUACUCCUCACAACAACCUGAUGAGCACAGAAGUCCACCUACCUUCACUGGGAUCUCAGAAGAAGCAGAAGGAAAUAAGAAGAUCCUGGCCGGGUGCUGUGGUUCCCACCUGUGGUCUCAGCACUGUGGGAGUGCUAUAGUCCUAGCUACUUGGAGGCUGAGGCAGGAGGAUCACUUGAGGCCAGGAGUUCAAGACCAGCCUGGGCAACAUAGUGAGACCCCAUCUUUAUUUAUAAAAAAAACAAAAACCCAAGAAGAUCCAAAGGCAUAAAAAUGGUCCAUUGCACCCAGGACCUCUCCCUGACCGCAGAUCCUUGGCACAAGCUGGCAGCCCUGGUCUUGGUUUUUCCUCUCCCAGCUCCUUGUCCCUGUCUCAGGCCCCUCCUUCUUAAAUGAGACCUUUAUUGCUUUUUUCCUCAUAGUCUCUGCCACUCCUCCCUCUGUCCCUGUCCUCAGGAGCUGUAAAACCAUGCCCCAAAGAGUUAAGGAAGCCAAUGACAGAAAUUCUUUUUUUUUUUUUUUUUUUGAGACGGAGUCUCUCUCUGUCGCCCAGGCUGGAGUGCAGUGGUGCAAUCUUGGCUCACCGCAACCUCCUCCUCCUGGGUUCAAGCAGUUCUCCUGUCUCAGCCUCCCAAGUAGCUAGGACUACAGGUGUGUGCCACCACGCCCGGCUAAUUUUUUUUGUAUUUUUAGUAGACACAGGGUUUUCCUUUGUUGGUCAGGCUGGUCUCGAACUCCUGACCUCAGGUGAUCCACCCGCCUCGGCCUCCCAAAGUGCUGGGAUUAUAGGCAUGAGCCACCGCGCCUGGCUAACAGAAAUUCUUGAGUUUGCAGAAUGGAGGUUAAAAAAAGAAACAACUACCGGCCGGGCGUGGUGGCUCACGCCAUGCCUGUAAUCCUAGCACCUUAGGAGGCUGAGGUGGGUGGAUCACCUGAGGUCAGGAGUUCAAGACCAGCCUGGCCAACAUGGUGAAACCCCGUCUCUACUAAAAAUACAAAAAUUAGUCAGGCAUGGUGGCACACGCCUGUAAUCCCAGCUACUCAGGAGGCUGAGGCAGGAGAAUCACUUGAACCCGGCAGAGAUUGCAGUGAGCUGAGAUCACGCCAUUGCACUCCAGCCUGGGCAACAAGAGAGAAACUCCAUCUCAAAAAAAAAAAAAAAAAAGGAAAAGAAACAACUGAAACUCCCUCUGCUUAUGAGAUCAAAAGAACUGGCUAACACUGGUUGGAACCAACAUGGACAACUGGAGUCUGCGCAGGAUGAACUUGCUGAUGGCACCGACUGAAUUUCCACUGCAUGUUUCAUACUAACUCCCCUUGAAUUUGCACAUGCGACCCAUGAGAUCCCAGGAAGAGAUAACUGCGCAUGCCCAGGGACUUUCCAGAUCUCCCCUUUCCUUUCACCAAUGAUCUGCUCAUCUCAGAAUCCACCCCCUGAACCUUUUCUAAUAAAAAUACUGCUUUGAAGCCAAGACGAGGAGACAGAUUUGAGCUUCACACUCAUGUCUGCUUGUGAGUCAACUUGCAAUAAAAGCCUUUCUUUUCUCAAAACCUGGCACAUUGAGCAGACAGCCCCCUUUGGCUCAUAACAAUUGUAUAUGAGAAUGAUGCAGCUGCCCCGGGGAAGAGAGAAGAAACUGCUAAUUUCCCACCAGUAUCCAUUCCUUCCUUGUUUUGUUAGUAUGCCUGAGUUUUGGUUGGGCACAUGAUCACAUGACUAAAGUUUACACUCCCCAGCCUCCCUUGCAGCUUAUUGAGUCAAUACAACCAAAUUCUGAUUGAUGGUUAGGACGAGGUCAG
rnacentral:lncRNA from 10 species